rnacentral:rRNA from 1 species
AGGCCUACGGGAGGCAGCAGUGGGGAAUAUUGCGCAAUGGACGAAAGUCUGACGCAGCGACGCCGCGUGAGGGAUGAAGGUUUUCGGAUCGUAAACCUCUGUCAGGAGGGAAGAAAGCGCAUGGCGCCAAUCAGCCAUGCGUUGACGGUACCUCCAAAGGAAGCGCCGGCUAACUCCGUGCCAGCAGCCGCGGUAAUACGGAGGAUGCGAGCGUUAUCCGGAUUUAUUGGGUUUAAAGGGUGCGCAGGCGGAAUGUCAAGUCAGCGGUAAAAUUUCGGGGCUCAACCCCGGCGUGCCGUUGAAAA